AUUGAACGCUGGCGGCAGGCCUAACACAUGCAAGUCGAGCGAGCGGCGGACGGGGGAGUAAUGUAUGGGGACUGCCCGAUAGAGGGGGAUAACUACUGUAAACGGUAGCUAAUACCGCAUACUAUCGGAUAACCCAUAUGGGAUUAGCUAGUAGGUGGGGUAAUGGCGCACCUAGGCGACGAUCCCUAGCUGGUCUGAGAGGAUUAUCAGCCACACGGGUACUGAGACACGGCCCAGACUCCUAUGGAGGCAGCAGUGGGGAAUAUUGCACAAUGGGCGCAAGCCUGAUGCAGCCAUGCCGCGUGUAUGAAGAAGGCCCUAGGGUUGUAAAGUACUUUCAGUCGGGAGGCGUUACCGACAGAAGAAGCACCGGCUAACUCCGUGCCAGCCGCCGCGGUAAUUC
rnacentral:rRNA from 1 species